ensembl:rRNA 5S_rRNA 5S ribosomal RNA
GCUUACGGCCAUACCACUCUGAAAAGCCUGAUCUCAUCUGACCUUGGAAGCAAAGCAGAGUUGGGCCUGGUUAGUACUUGGUUGGGAGACUGAAUGGGAAUACUAGGUGCUGUAAGCU